rnacentral:misc_RNA from 1 species
UCCGAGUUGACCCCGGCAGUCUCCUACGAGUCCCCACCAUUACGUGCUGGCAACAUAGGACAAGGGUUGCGCUCGUUGCGGGACUUAACCCAACAUCUCACGACACGAGCUGACGACAACCAUGCACCACCUGUGUAGAACCCCGAAGGACACCAUAUCUCUAUGGCUUUCACCAGCAUGUCAAGCCCAGGUAAGGUUCUUCGCGUUGCUUCGAAUUAAACCACAUGCUCCACCGCUUGUGCGGGCCCCCGUCAAUUCCUUUGAGUUUCAGCCUUGCGGCCGUACUCCCCAGGCGGGGCACUUACUGCGUUAGCGACGGCACCGGGAGGGUCGCUCCCCCCGACGCCUAGUGCCCAUCGUUUACGGCGUGGACUAC